UACGGAGGGUGCAAGCGUUAUCCGGAUUCACUGGGUUUAAAGGGUGCGUAGGUGGGCAGGUAAGUCAGUGGUGAAAUCUCCGGGCUUAACUCGGAAACUGCCGUUGAUACUAUCUGUCUUGAAUAUCGUGGAGGUUAGCGGAACAUGUCAUGUAGCGGUGAAAUGCUUAGAUAUGACAUAGAACACCCAUUGCGAAGGCAGCUAACUACACGAUCAUUGACACUGAGGCACGAAAGCGUGGGGAGCAAACAGG
rnacentral:rRNA from 1 species